GACAGAGGCCUCAAGCGUUAGGCGGAAUCACUGGGCUUAAAGCGUGUGUAGGCGGAUCGUUAAGUGUCUUGUGAAAUCCCACGGCUCACCCGUGGAACGGCUGGGCAUACUGGCGAUCUUGGGCCAACUAGGGCAACUGGAACAAGCGGUGGAGCGGUGAAAUGCGUAGAUAUCGCUUGGAACGCCGAAGGUGAAAACAGGUUGCUGGGGUUGUGCCGACGCUGAGACACGAAAGCCAGGGGAGCAAACGGG
rnacentral:rRNA from 1 species